GGCGAAACGAAACUUGUGAAUCGUGCAUUUGCUCUUCAUGGUAGCUGCCAGAAAAUCGAAUCAAACUUAUGGGACACUGGAUUACAGGUUGCUGCCACUACUCCAUGUGCCCGCAAUUGUCUUGCGUGUAUGAUUACACUAACGACGUCGCCGACCACGGCGGAAGUGUUUUGCGUACACGCGUUUCAGCAUGAAGCCUGCAGGUGGACGUAAAUUGUAGAAGGCAGCUAGUGGGGGAGAAGAUCAUGGUCAUAGGUCAUGUGGCUCCUGGAGCUCCCAGUGGGCUCCCUUGUGGAGUACUUUUCAGAACACACACACACACAGUUUGCUCACAGAACCAACGAGUAGGAUGUUGCUUGAAUACUGA